rnacentral:rRNA from 1 species
GGCUACACACGUGCUACAAUGGGUAGAACAGAGAGUUGCAAAGCCGUGAGGUGAAGCUAAUCUCAGAAAACUAUUCUUAGUUCGGAUUGUACUCUGCAACUCGAGUACAUGAAGUUGGAAUCGCUAGUAAUCGCGAAUCAGCAAUGUCGCGGUGAAUACGUUCUCGGGCCUUGUACACACCGCCCGUCACACCACGAGAGUUGGUUGCACCUGAAGUAGCAGGCCUAACCGUAAGGAGGGAUGCUCCGAGGGUGUGAUUAGCGAUUGGGGUGAAGUCGUAACAAGGUAUCCGUACGGGAACGU